rnacentral:rRNA from 1 species
UCUGGCGGCAGUAGCGCGGUGGUCCCACCGGACCCCAUGCCGAACUCAGAAGUGAAACGCCGUAGCUCCGAUGGUAGUGA